UCCCCCGUGGCGCAACUGGCUAGCGCGUCAGACUGUUAUUCCAUCUUCUUCAAGGCGAGAUAUCUUGGUGAGAUAAAGGCAUCUGGAGGUUCUCAGUUCAAUCCUGAGCGGGGGAG